AUUGAACGCUGGCGGAAUGCCUAACACAUGCAAGUCGAGCGGGGUAGCAAUAUCCAGCGGCGGACGGGUGAGGAAUACAUAGGAAUCUGCCUUUAGGUGGGGGAUAGCUUGGGGAAACUCAGGGUAAUACCGCAUGAUCUCGCAAGAGCAAAGUGGGGGAUCGCAAGACCUCACGCCUUUAGAGGAGCCUAUGUCUGAUUAGCUUGUUGGUGAGGUAACGGCUCACCAAGGCGACGAUCAGUAACUGGUCUGAGAGGACGAUCAGUCACACCGGAACUGAGACACGGUACGGACUCCUACGGGAGGCAGCAGUGGGGAAUAUUGGACAAUGGGCGAAAGCCUGAUCCAGCAAUUCCGCGUGUGUGAAGAAGGCCUUCGGGUUGUAAAGCACUUUAGGUUGGGAAGAAAAAACUUCUCCUAAUACGAGGAGCGUUGACGGUACCAACAGAAUAAGCACCGGCUAACUCUGUGCCAGCAGCCGCAGUAAUAC
rnacentral:rRNA from 1 species